rnacentral:rRNA from 1 species
ACGGAUAUCUCGGCUCUCGCAUCGAUGAAGAACGUAGCGAAAUGCGAUACCUGGUGUGAAUUGCAGAAUCCCGCGAACCAUCGAGUCUUUGAACGCAAGUUGCGCCCGAGGCCUUUUGGCUAAGGGCACGCCUGCCUGGGCGUCACGCCAAACACGCUCCAACC